rnacentral:sRNA from 1 species
CUUUGCCAUCAGAGCCUAGAUAUGUAUGUGUUGGUUGUUCUUAUAUCGAUGUUGAUGGGGCUGAGACUUUAGCAGAUACUGAUUUUCAGAAGUCGAGAUGCACGGUGGUUGUUGUUGAUACUUACACUCUUACUAU